rnacentral:rRNA from 1 species
UACGUAGGUGACAAGCGUUGUCCGGAUUUACUGGGCGUAAAGAGCGCGCAGGCGGUCGAUCAAGUCGAGUGUGAAAGCCCCCGGCUCAACUGGGGAGGGUCAUUCGAUACUGAUCGACUCGAAGGCAGGAGAGGGUAGUGGAAUUCCCGGUGUAGUGGUGAAAUGCGUAGAUAUCGGGAGGAACACCAGUGGCGAAGGCGACUACCUGGCCUGUUCUUGACGCUGAGGUACGAAAGCGUGGGGAGCGAACAGG